UCCUCUGUGGCGCAAUUGGCUAGCGCGUUCGGCUGUUAACCGGAAGGUUUCAAGUUCGAAUCUUGGCAGGGGAG
rnacentral:tRNA from 1 species